GACUUUUUAAUCCUGUUUGGGCCUAUUUUGGGAAAACAGUUUUUAUAGAAUUGUGUUUUCAUAGUGUUAGUUUUUAGAGAACUACUUAAGUUGUUUUCAGAAUUUUUACUACUGUUUGAGAACUCAAAAAAAGACACGGAGAACACUGCUCCACUUAAAAAACCGACGUUACCCUCGCGUCGUUUAUAACGCAGCAUCCAUCUUCUUUCUCUUCAACCUCUCUGCAACAUUUUCUCUCUCUGCAACCUCUCUGCCUGAUCUCGUUCAUAACAGAAGCUCUGCAACGCAUCCAUCUUAUCUCUCUUCAACCUCUCUGCAACCCAUCUUCUCUCUCUUAAACCUCUCUGCAACGGCAUCUUCUCUCUCUUCAACCUCUCUGCAACUAAGAGAAGGUAGAUCUGGCUCUUGAAGAUCGUUAUUUACACAAAGAGAAGGGUGGAUCUAGUUCUUCAAGUUCUCUUUCUUCAGGAUGGCAUCUCAAAUUGCUGAUGUUGAGGAGUCAGCUCUGUGGUCUACACAAUUAGAGAGAUGUUUUGUUGAUAUAAUGGUUGAGGAGGUUAACAAGGGGAACAUGCUAUCUGGGAUAUUUACUUCCAAGUAUUGGAAAAAGAUUGCGGAGGAGUUCAAAAACAAGACUAAUCACGCUUACAAUGUGAAGCAACUAAAGGCAAAAUUUAAUCGAUUACGUACAAAACAUCGUGAGUUUUCAACUCUUCUAAACGUGACAACUGGGUUUGGUUGGGAUGCGGAAACAAACACUGUGACUGUUGAUGAAGAAACUUGACAAACAUAUUUGCUCAUUCCAAUGCUAAGUGUUUUCGUAAAAAAGAUUGUGAAAAUUACAAACUUUUGGGAGUUCUUUUUAAUAUGUCGACUGCUACUGGGCAACUUCACUAUGCAUCCACUCAAGAUCCACCUAAUACAGACGAAGAACGAGAGCAGGAGGAUUAAUUUAUGAAUACAGGUGUCCAUGUUAGUUCAACUACUGAAGGUCAAGAUGAUUCAGAUAAUAUUCUAGUUGAAGACAAUAACCCUCGUCGUCGUAAAUCCACAUUCUCUGAUCGUCGUGCAAAAAAGGUGAGUAAAAAAGAUUCCAUUAGUGAUCCUCUUGCUUGUAUUGUUGAAGCUUCCAAAGCAAGGACUGAAGCUUCCAAAGUAAGGACUGAAGCUUCAUUAGCUAAGGUGGUGACGUAUAAGAAAAUGAAACAUACUCAAAAGGCAACUAGCCCAGACGCAUACUCUCUAAGUAAUUGUAUUGAAUGCCUUGAGGGUCUUGAUGAGAUAGAUAAUGACACAUAUUUGAAGGCAACUGAAAAGUUCAAGGAAUUGCACUACAGAGAAUUGUUCAUUAAGAUGAGUAUUUCCAGGAAGUUUGCUUGGUUGAAGAGCUUGGAGUGACUUGAAGUUUGCUUGAUUGAAGAGCGUGGACUGACUUGGGUGGUUACUGAAUGCAGGGUUUAGUUUUUGGUUGCAUGUGACUUGAAACACAUAUUUGGUUUUAUGUGUUAUUGAACAAUUUACUUAUGCCUUAUUUUUUAUUUUAUUUUAUUUUUUUUUCCCUAUGCAUGUGACUUUAUGUUAUAUUCAUGUGGGGAACAAUUUAUUAUGUUUUAUGUUAUGAAAACUUUGUUUUGGUGUACUUU